GGGCGAGUUUUUUUUCCUCGCAAUGCUUUAGUCUGCCGAUUUUUUUCUUCUUUUAUCAGGGACUCGUGAGUGGGAGCCAAUCAGGAGCAGCGUCCCCUCUGCUUUAGCGUCCCUGCCAUCCAGCGCGAGGAGUGAUGCAGCUGGGGCGAGAGAGAGAGAGAGAGAGAGAGAGAGAGAGAGACGCAGCUGUGGAGCGGAUCGAAAGCUACAGUGAUACUGCUGCAGUGAACGGAUAAACAUCAGACCACUUAACAAGUACCGCUCCCCUAAGUCGGAUUUCCAACUGCACUGAAUAUUGGGUAGCGCCGGACCCCGGGAGCCAAUGGGAGAGUAGAAGCAGGAAAAAGGUGAAGACUAUGAGGCCGGCCCCGUUUCCCUAACUGAAAAAAGAAAGAAAAAAA